rnacentral:snRNA from 1 species
AGUACCCACGCGAGUGUGGGUUU